rnacentral:rRNA from 1 species
UACGUAGGCAGCAAGCGUUGUUCGGAAUUACUGGGCGUAAAGAGUGUGUAGGCGGUGCUCUAAGUCUGUUGUGAAAUCUCCCGGCUUAACCGGGAGGGUGCGGCGGAAACUGGAGUGCUUGAGGGUGGGAGAGGUAAGCGGAAUUCCCGGUGUAGCGGUGAAAUGCGUAGAUAUCAGGAGGAACACCUGUGGUGUAGACAGCUUACUGGACCACUUCUGACGCUGAGACACGAAAGCGUGGGUAGCAAACAGG